GAGCGAGGGAGCGCGGCGGGGAGCGCGGCGCAGCCCUCCCAGCGCCCGCACGCAGCGCCGGCCCCGCCGCCACGGCCCCGCUGCCGCCGCCGGAGCCCUGCGAACCGCGGGCAGCGCACGGCGGGCCGGCGAUGCGGCGCACAGCUCCCGGACGCCGGAGCCUAUGAGCGGCGGCACGCCGCCCCGUCGGCUCUCGGGCAGCGCGGCGCAGGGGGGGCAGCUAGCGGAGAGCCGCCGGGGCGAGCGCGGGCGGGCGGCCGAUGCCAGCGGCGCGGAGGCGCGGCAGGAUGUGAGCGGGGCGGCCGAGCAUCGCGGAGCGGGACGGCGGAGCGGAGCAGCCAUGCCCUGCUGAGGAGCCGCGCAGGAUGUUCGGGCUGGAGCAGUUCGAGCCGCAGAGCAGCAGCCGGAGCGGCGGACAGGCGGAGCGGGGCUUCGGCCAGCCCGGACUGAGCAUGAGCGCGCACUUCAAGGCGCCGGCCUUCCCCGGCGGCGGCCCGGCGGCAGCGGCGGCGGUGGACCCGGCCCUGGGCGCGCUGGGAGAGCCGCCCCUCCUGGGCAUGAACAUGAGCCUGCCCGCGGACGCCUACGGGUUCCCGGGCCGCGGCCCCGCCGAGCUGCACGGCGGCGGCAUGCAGCCGCCGGUGCACGGCUUCUUCGGCGGGCAGACGGCGCACGGCGGCCACGGCGGCGGCCACCACCCGCACCAGCACCCCCCGCACUUCGGCGGUAACUUCGGGCCCGACCCUGGCGCCUCCUGCGUGCACGGCGGCCGGCUCCUGGGCUACAGCGGCGCGCUGGGCGGGCAGACGGCGUUCGCCGACGGCUACGAGCACAUGGCCGACGGCCAGGGAGGCGAGGGCUUCGGGCAGCAGCGCCCCGGGAACCUGCCCGACUUCCAGCACCACAGCGCCGGCGGCUCCAGCCACGCCGUGCCGGCUCCCUGCCUGCCCCUCGACCAGUCUCCCAACCGCGCAGCCUCUUUCCACGGGCUGCCGGCGGCCGGCUCCUCCGAGCCCCACGGCCUGGAGCAGCGGCGGCUGCCCGCGCAGGGCAGCGUGGACUCGCUGGAAUACAAUUACCCUGGCGACGGCCCCGCCGGCCACUUCGAGCUGCCCGUGUUCUCACCGUCGGAGCCCGAGGGGCAGCUGCCGCACUAUGGUGGCGGGCGGCAGGUGCCAGCGGGCGGCAACUUCGCCGGAGCACCCGCCCUGCCUCGAGCACCGGGCAUGGCCGUGGCCAAGGCGCACCCGCCACAGCAGCACGGCGUCUUCUUCGAGCGCUUUGGGGGGACGCGGAAGAUGUCCGCCAGCCUGGAGCCGGGGGCCAGCGCCAGGCACCCGCUGAUGCAGCAGCAGCAGCAGCCACCGCAACCGCCGCAGCAGCCGCCACCGGGCUUGCUGGCCAGACAGAACUCCUGCCCGCCAGCCAUCCCUAGGCAACAGCAAACAGAAGCCAACGCUCCCAACCCCAACCUGCAGGACAAUGGGCCCAUAAUGCAGAACCAGCAUGCACAGUUUGAAUACCCUAUUCACAGACUGGAGAACAGGAAUAUGCAUCCCUACACCGACCCCGUGUUUAAUAUGCAGCACCCUCCUCCGCCACAGCCACCAAAUCAAAGACUGCAGCACUUCGAUGCCCCUUACGUGAGCGUCGCCAAGAGGCCGCGGUUCGACUUCCCUGGCAACCCUGGCGUCGAGCGCUGCACCUCCUGGGGCAGCGGCAUGCAUGGCCCAGCCAUGGAGAGCCACCUCUCCCCAACGGCCUACCCCGGCCUGCCUGGCGACUUCACUCCGCCGGCACCCGAGGCCUUCGGGGGGCCGCUGCCACAUGGUGGCCCCGAGCACCCGGCGCUGGCACAGCGCCAGAACGCGGCGCUGGUGAUGAAGCAGAUGGCCUCGCGCAGCCAGCAGCGCCUGCGGCCGCCCAGCCUGCAGCAGCUGGGGCACCACGGUGAGGUGGGCCCGCCCGGCGGCCUGCCCCCGCCUGCCUUCGAGCGCGAGGCCAGCAGCGGCCGUGGCUUCGACCCGCCAGCACCGCAUCUGGCCCCCGACAGCGCCUGGUUUGCGGGGCCGCCGCCACCCGGGGAGCUGCUGCCGCGGCGCAUGGCGGCACCGGGGCUGCCGGCCGAGGCGGCCCCCCAUGAGCUGGGCCUACAGCCGGGCAGCACUGCCGUGCUGUUCCGGCCGGGCGCCAGCGGGCUGGGGCUGCAGGAGCCGCUGCGGAUGGCAGGCGAGGGGCCAGCACAGGCCCUGCCCUCUCCUGGCGUCCACCAGCCCUUCGCGCCUGCCAUGGGUGGCCUCUCGCAGCUGCAGUCGCCGGGCAGUGGCGUGGCGCUGCCCAGUGCACCUGCCGAGCGCCGUGGCCCUGCUGACUUUGCUGCCCAGCCCGGCUUCCCCUUCGCGGCAGCGGCGCGGCAGCCAGCGGCCCACGGGGCUGGGCCUGCGCUCAGCGCCUCGCCGGGCGCGUACCCGCCAGCCCCGUCCGAGUUCCCCCCACCACCGCCGCCGCGGCCCGCCGCCAGCAAGCUGGGCGCCCUCUCCCUGGGCUCCUUCAGCAAGCCGGCCAGCAAGGACAACGUCUUCGGGCAGAGCUGCCUGGCCGCCCUCUCCACCGCCUGCCAGAACAUGAUCGCCAGCCUGGGUGCCCCCAACCUCAACGUCACCUUCAACAAGAAGAGCCCGGCCGAGGCCAAGCGCAAGCUCAGCCAGGCCGAGCCCGACCCGCCGCCGCCCGCCGCCCAGGACUACUUCCCACCAGGGCCGCCAGCUGGUGGGGGAGCCGCAGGCAAGGCGCCGGGCACGGCCCCGCUGCUGCCCGCCGAGAGCAGCCUCUCGCCCGGCUUCGCGCUGGAGCCGGCGGCUGGCGGCGAGGGGAAGGCGGGUGGUGGGCGGGGGCGGGGCCGCCGGAAACGGGACAGCGGGCACGUCAGCCCCGGCACCUUCUUCGAGAAGUUCUCGGCCACCGAGGGCAGCGGGGCCGGUGUCAGCCCGGGGCAGCCGGCGGCCGCGGGGGGCCCGCCGGGGGCCGCGGGCACAGAGCGUGGUGGGGGCACCCCCCAUGACAAGCCCCUGACCUCGCCAUCCUGGGGCAAGGGCGGCGAGCUGCUGCUGGCGGAGCAGCCCGACCUGAUGUCCUCCCUGGACAGCGGCAUCCAGAGCGUGACCAAGUCGGACGGCAGCUCCCCGCACGUGGACUUUCCCGACGAGGUCAGCACCAGCUACGGCAAUGAGGACGAGGUGUCCUCCAGCUCCGACAACGCCGCCUCCAAGCCCACCCGCAGCCCGCUGCUGGGCGGCUCGCCCAAGCUGCCCCGUGGGGAGCACGCACUUCUCAACGGACAGAAGCCCCUGGCCCUUGGCCUCCUCAGUACGUCUACCUCGACCCCUGACAGCUACGGGCUCAGCACCACAGCGGGCGCACACCCUGGCACGCCGAGCAUGGAGCAGGUGCGGACCCCCACCAGCACCUCGGCCCAGGAUGAGAUCCACCCCCUGGAGAUCCUGCAGGCGCAGAUCCAGCUCCAGCGGCAGCAGUUCAGCAUCUCGGAAGACCAGCCCUUGGGGCUGAAGAGCAAGAAGGGGGAGUGCGCAGGGCAGAACGGGGACAGCGACCUGGGCAGCUGCUGCUCAGAGGGCGUCAAGGGCCCCAUGAGCACCAUCGACCUGGACUCCCUCAUGGCGGAGCACAACUCCACCUGGUACCUGCCUGGUGAGAAGGCCCUGAUGGAAGGGCAGGAGGAGGACAAGCCCAUGGUGCCCUGGGAGAAGCCCAAGCCCCCGAAUCCCAGCAAAGAAGCCCACGACCUUCCCCCGAGCAAGACGUCGGCGGCGCAGACGGGCAGCCACCUGCAGUGCCUCUCGGUCCACUGCACGGACGACGUGGGCGAGGCGAAGGGCCGGACUGCGGUGCCGACGUGGAGGUCCCUGCACUCGGACAUCUCCAACAGAUUUGGAACUUUCGUGGCCGCCCUGACUUGAACAAAAGAAAUUAUUUUUUUUCUCUUUUUAAUUUCAAAGGGCCGCUACUGCUAGGUGGACUAUUUUUCUAGCUGGAGCUGCCACGAGGAUGAGGAUUUUUGCCCAUCCUGGAGCAAUUGGCUUGGAGCUGCCUCACACCCACUUGGUUUGAACAAAAGGAUGGGAUGGUUCUGAGUCCUGUGCCUUCUGUAGGUGUACGCUUGCUGUCGAAAGCUCAGAGCUCCUCCCUGUACCUGCAAUAAAACAUCACCAUCCCACUGAAAUAUCUCUUGGUAGGUAAUAAUUUCCAGCCCCCACUCUGCAAGAUGCCCCUUUGCCUGUGAUUUAAGUCCUGGUUCACCCAAAGUGGUGUUGAACCUGAAAUCCUGCCUGGCAAAGCUGUGCCUGCCGGGAGUGAUGCUGUGGUGGGCUUGGUCCUUGGCUCCUGCCCCAUCCUGGCAGCUCCUGCCUAUAUCAGCCAGGUGAGUCUUGGAGGAACCCCAGCAAAACACUUGCCUAGAUCUAUGAUACCGCAUUUCAGUGCUUACAGCUGAAAAUCUAGGAAGAGUUCGUGGUCCAGUGGCAUUCCUGCAUGGAGUGCAGCCCCAUGGCCAACUUCUUUGUUUUUAGUUUUUCCUGCUGCAUUCAGGAGAACAGGUUUUUCAGGCUUCCUGAGGUCAGGGAUGCACACCCUGCUACCAGGAAGAGACCUCUCCGUGAACGCAUCCAGCAUUUCAGAUCUGUUUUAAAGAGAAAUCCUCCUUGAAGCAGAAAAGUGGUGACUUAGUUGGUCUCACCCACCCUUUUCUUCUGGUUUGCUCUCUGCAGCUUGUACUCCUCUCCUGCAGUUGUCCUCAUCCACUUGGGACUGACUUCUUCACUUGCUCAUAGAAAUACAGAGUGGGAGUGAUUCUUUAACCCCCCCUGGAAUCCUGACAGUUUCCAGUCCUGUGAGGUGAGGAGGGCUGUGCUGAAGCCAGGGACUCUGCUUCUUGCCAAGAGUCAGAACAGAAACGGUACAUAUCACUGACCAGGAAGAGCAUCGCUUCAUGCUCACAACCUGG